AGUGAACGCUGGCGGUAGGCCCAACACAUGCAAGUCGAACGGCAGCACAGUAAGAGCUUGCUCUUACGGGUGGCGAGUGGCGGACGAGUGAGGAAUACAUCGGAAUCUACUUUUUCGUGGGGGAUAACGUAGGGAAACUUACGCUAAUACCGCAUACGACCUACGGGUGAAAGCAGGGGAUCUUCGGACCUUGCGCGAUUGAAUGAGCCGAUGUCGGAUUAGCUAGUUGGCGGGGUAAAGGCCCACCAAGGCGACGAUCCGUAGCUGGUCUGAGAGGAUGAUCAGCCACACUGGAACUGAGACACGGUCCAGACUCCUACGGGAGGCAGCAGUGGGGAAUAUUGGACAAUGGGCGCAAGCCUGAUCCAGCCAUACCGCGUGGGUGAAGAAGGCCUUCGGGUUGUAAAGCCCUUUUGUUGGGAAAGAAAGGCAGCAGGUUAAUACCCCGCUGUUCUGACGGUACCCAAAGAAUAAGCACCGGCUAACUUCGUG
rnacentral:rRNA from 1 species